rnacentral:lncRNA from 1 species
ACCUGUGAUGAUCAUAUGUUAUAUCAAAAUCAACGAUCAUAUAACCAUAAUCCAACAUGUAUGUUCAAAGGUUAUAAACACAUCUAUAGGCCAUUUCAAAAGUUAUACAAGACAGGACCCCCAAAAUACGACACAAUAGAGUAUAAGCUCAAAACAACAGCCCACAAAAUAACCCUACAGGUCGUCAUCCAUGUACAUUGAUCUUUGGAAUCCUGUAAGAGCUCCACAGCUAGCCGUGCCCUCUACAUAGUUUCAUGCUCACCUACAAUGCAAGAACAACAUAAGCUAAUGCUUAGUAAGCAAGAAUCAUACAUGUUAUGAGUAUGAGUAACAAGGAUAUGUGACACCAUGUCAUUUACUUUAAACAUCGUGCUAAAGAUGCUUCAUAUUUCAAUAUUCAUCAAAGUCGACUCGAAAUUAUUUCAUUUGAAAUCUUUCAUUUCAUUGGGCCCUUGACCCACCAACUAUGCACCGAAUAGAGCCCUAUGAUCACCCAAGAAGUCUCCCACCCGACUGCGCCAAUAAUCAUAACAAGGGCAUAGUCGAGUGGUCCGCCCUCCCGUGAUCACCAAAGGCCCAUCCCCUGUCUAUCUUUGAAAUCACCCAGGAAGUAUCACCCGCGAUGCCAAACAUAUCACAUAAGCAUGCCUCACAUGCCUCGGUGCCCUAGUAGUGGUCAAUAAAACAUUUAUAAAGAAAACUUACUUUGAAAUCAUGUUUUGCAUGCAAAGUUUUCAACCAUGAUCAUAUGUUGUGCAUGCCAACGAAAAUGCUCAUGAAUGACAUGCUUAAUGGAAGUUGAUGUCAAUGUAUUUUGCAACCGCAUACUCAAUGAUCAUAAUCAUCAUAUAGGGUACAACGAGCUUUCUUAUCAAAGUAUGAAAAUAUCCUAACAUCACUAUACCACAAAUGCUAGGUUCUUGCAUCAUAGUUGCGAAUUGAUUUUCACUUACCUUUUUGCCCUUGUGUGUGCACAAGCUCCUACGGAGAUUAUAUCACUUUCCUUUUUCACUCAACGUCGGAAAAUCACCUGUAUUACCAUUUAAUAUUAAAGACAAUCCUCCAUUUAAUAGCCUUAACACACACAAAAUCCCAAAAUACUUCCAUUCACGUCAAAAUAAUUUAAACGAAUUCAUUAUUCAAGUUACUAACGGCAUUACAAUCUCGUCCCAUAAGUCUCAUUUUUCCUCGAGUCCAAUUACCAACAUCAACGUCAUCCAAUUGUUGUCAACAACCUAAUACUCCUUAGAAUCUAUUUUCUAGGCCCAAGAGAUAAUUAAUUUACAUGUAAAGGUUGAAAUCAUAUUAAACACAGAAAUGGACAGAACCUGUUUUUCGGGUUUCAUCACCGUCCAACUACUUUUCCAAUCCGUUUUCACCCCCUUAUCCAUAUCCAAUGACUUCCAAAUUUUUACCACGUUUCUAUAACAUGUAUGUGAAGGCAAUAAUCCUCUAAAGUCGUGACAAAUCAAGUGUUCUCAGCAUCAAAAUAGUCCAUUUCCACGACAUCAAAAUCAGGCAGUUUUCAUUGUGACAGCUUUCGGUUUCCAUUUUAUUAGCAUGUCAUCAAACAGAUUCCAGGCUAUUAGAAAACCAUUUAUAUCCUUCUAAAUCCAAUAUAAAAACAUUCAUUUACAUAGAUACAAGUUAUAUCUUCAGUAUUAUCCAAAAUCAAAGUUUAAACCAUCCAAAUUCAUCAAUCAACACAUCUCUAUUUCUGUUGGUUUCUUUCAGGUUCUUGUACUCAAUUACCCCUCUCUUUUGCCAUCAUAAAAUCAUAAACAACCCUUAUACUUAGCCUCAAGUAAGUUUAUAGUUUAAACAUAUUAUAAAACAAGCAAAAGAACUAAAGAAAAACUUCAAAACCGUGAGCUAAACUCACCUAUCCAGAAAUUCAAUUUCAGCUCCUUGUUUCUGCUUCUCUCUUUUCCUUUUUGCUUUCUCUUUCAAUCGGUGGUCAAUUGGGGAUAAUUUGUAAGACUAAACAUGUUGUUAGGAGGUGUAUAUAAAGUCUUCAAGAUGCUGGAGACGUGACUCUUCCUUCAGGAUUAAGAAAAUGUGGGGUGCAGCAAAGUGUUUAGCAUGAGGUGGUCUUUUCCUACUAUAUUUGACUUUUCUCUUGGACUAUUUAACUUAUAUUGGUUUAUAAGAUAUAUAUA